rnacentral:rRNA from 1 species
UACGUAGGAGACGAGCGUUGUCCGGAAUUACUGGGCGUAAAGCGCGUGUAGGCGGAUGAGCAAGUCUGCUGUGAAAGCUCCUGGCUUAACCGGGAGUGGUCGGUGGAAACUGCUCGUCUGGAGGACGGUAGAGGUAGGUAGAAUUCCCGGUGUAGUGGUGAAAUGCGUAGAGAUCGGGAGGAAUACCUGUGGCGAAGGCGGCCUACUGGGCCGGACCUGACGCUGAGACGCGAAGGCGUGGGGAGGCGAACGGG